rnacentral:ncRNA from 2 species
ACAAGAUAUAGACGUUACGGUAUCCGAGGUGUCAGCAUCUUGGUCGGGAAUCCGGUGCGCCGCGCCAAGACGGUAAAGCCGGGGCUGCCCCCGCAACUGUAAGCGGUUAGCUUUGCGUCCUUUCUUGCCACUGGUGCGCCACGUGCUGGGAAGGCUGGACCAAAGCGCGGAGCCGCGAGCCAGGAGACCGGCCGUAACGCAUGCGUAAUC